GUGGGGAAUAUUGCGCAAUGGGGGAAACCCUGACGCAGCAAUACCGCGUGAGUGAAGAAGGUUUUCGGAUCGUAAAACUCUUUUAUUGGGGAAGAAGAAGUGACGGUACCCAAUGAAGAAGUCCCGGCUAACUACGUGCCAGCAGCCGCGGUAAUACGUAGGGGACAAGCGUUGUCCGGAAUCACUGGGCGUAAAGGGCGCGUAGGCGGUUUUAUAAGUCAGAUGUGAAAGGUACCGGCUCAACCGGUGACGUGCAUUUGAAACUGUAAGACUUGAGUACUGGAGAGGCAAGUGGAAUUCCUAGUGUAGCGGUGAAAUGCGUAGAUAUUAGGAGGAACACCGGUGGUGAAGGCGGCUUGCUGGACAGAUACUGACGCUGAGGUGCGAAAGCGUGGGGAGCGAACAGGAUUAGAUACCCCAGUAGUCC
rnacentral:rRNA from 1 species